rnacentral:rRNA from 1 species
GAUGAACGCUGGCGGCGUGCCUAAUACAUGCAAGUCGAGCGAACAGACGAGAAGCUUGCUUCUCUGACGUUAGCGGCGGACGGGUGAGUAACACGUGGAUAACCUACCUAUAAGACUGGGAUAACUUCGGGAAACCGGAGCUAAUACCGGAUGAUAUAUUGAACCGCAUGGUUCAAAAGUGAAAGACGGUCUUGCUGUCACUUAUAGAUGGAUCCGCGCUGCAUUAGCUAGUUGGUAAGGUAACGGCUUACCAAGGCAACGAUGCGUAGCCGACCUGAGAGGGUGAUCGGCCACACUGGAACUGAGACACGGUCCAGACUCCUACGGGAGGCAGCAGUAGGGAAUCUUCCGCAAUGGGCGAAAGCCUGACGGAGCAACGCCGCGUGAGUGAUGAAGGUCUUCGGAUCGUAAAACUCUGUUAUUAGGGAAGAACAUAUGUGUAAGUAACUGUGCACAUCUUGACGGUACCUAAUCAGAAAGCCACGGCUAACUACGUG